rnacentral:lncRNA from 1 species
UAGAGCAAAAACCUUUCCAUUGAUGACUUAAUUCAACGGGUGGCAGAAAUAUUGUGAGUUACUCCAUUCAACAUUUUAUUCAUACGGAACAUUUCGAAAUCAAGCAAGCUUAAAUUAUGUGGAUUUUUCUCACCAUACUUUGACAGAGGUUUUCCUUUGGAAUUCGCGAAAUCGAAUUUGUUUUUGUGAGAGUUGGACUGUUCUUAACUUCAUUUGACUAUCUCUCAGUUUGAUGAUUCUCUGCUGCAAUUGGAUUUGAUGCUUUGCAUCACUGCCAUUUCUCACACG